rnacentral:rRNA from 1 species
GACGAACGCUGGCGGCGUGCCUAAUACAUGCAAGUCGAACGCAGUGGGGACGGGUGAGUAAAACGUGGGUAACCUCCCAUCAGAGGGGAUAACACUUGGAAACAGGUGCUAAACCGAUACUGAUGGAUGGACCCGCGGUGCAUUAGCUAGUUGGUGAGGUAACGGCUCACCAAGGCCACGCUGCAUAGCCGACCUUGGAGGGUGAGCGGCCAACCGGGGACUGAGACACGGCCCAGACGCCUACGGGAGGAAGCAGGAGGGAAUCGUCGGAAAUGGACGAAAGUCUGACCGAGCAACGCCGCGUGAGUGAAGAAGGUUUUCGGAUCGUAGAACUCUGUUGUUAGAUAUGCGGUAUCUAACCAGAAAGCGACGGCUAACUACGUGCCAGCAGCCGCGGUAAUUC